GACGAACGCUGCGGCGUGCCUAACACAUUCAAAUUCAACGGAAAGGCCCUGCCUUUGUUGGGUUCCCGGGUGGCGAACGGGUGAGUAAACAGUGAGUAACCUGCCCCUGACUUUUGGUUUACUUUAAGGAACUGGGGCUUAUACCCGAAAGGAAGCCCCUCUUCAUGGUGGGGGGUGGGAAGUUUCGGCGGUUGGGGAUGGACUCGCGGCUUAUCAGCUUGUUUGUGGGGUAGUGGCUUACCAAGGCUUUGACGGGUAGCCGGCCUGAGAGGGUGACCGGCCACAUUGGGACUGAGAGACGGCCCAGACUCCUACGGGAGGCAGCAGUGGGGAAUAUUGCACAAUGGGCGGAAGCCUGAUGCAGCAACGCCGCGUGCGGGAUGACGGCCUUCGGGUUGUAAACCGCUUUCGCCUGUGACGAAGCGUGAGUGACGGUAAUGGGUAAAGAAGCACCGGCUAACUACGUG
rnacentral:rRNA from 1 species